AGAGUUUGAUCAUGGCUCAGGAUGAACGCUAGCUACAGGCUUAACACAUGCAAGUCGAGGGGAAACGAUAUUGGAAGCUUGCUUCCGAUAGGCGUCGACCGGCGUACGGGUGAGUAACGCGUAUCCAACCUGCCCACCACUUGGGGAUAACCUUGACGAAAGUAAGACUAAUACCCAAUGACGUCUCUAGAAGACAUCUGAAAGAGAUUAAAGAUUUAUCGGUGAUGGAUGGGGAUGCGUCUGAUUAGCUUGUUGGCGGGGGUAACGGCCCACCAAGGCGACGAUCAGUAAGGGUUCUGAGAGGAAGGCCCCCCACAUUGGAACUGAGACACGGUCCAAACUCCUACGGGAGGCAGCA
rnacentral:rRNA from 1 species